rnacentral:rRNA from 1 species
UAUGGUAAUUGCCAGCAGCCGCGGUAAUACGUAGGGAGCGAGCGUUGUCCGGAAUUACUGGGUGUAAAGGGAGCGUAGGCGGGAUCGCAAGUCAGAUGUGAAAACUAUGGGCUUAACCCAUAAACUGCAUUUGAAACUGUGGUUCUUGAGUGAAGUAGAGGUAAGCGGAAUUCCUAGUGUAGCGGUGAAAUGCGUAGAUAUUAGGAGGAACAUCAGUGGCGAAGGCGGCUUACUGGGCUUUAACUGACGCUGAGGCUCGAAAGCGUGGGGAGCAAACAGG